UACGGUCAUAUAACACUAAAACACCUAUUCUCUUAUGAUCACCGAAGUUAAGCAAUGUUCAUACUGGUCAGUACCUAGAUGGGUAACCAUAUGGAAAUGCCGGGUGCUGUAAG